GCUAAGCCAUAAACAUUGAUAGCCAAACCACAAAGCUGUCCGCCAGAGAACUACAAGUGAAAAACUUAAAACUCAAAGGAUUUGGCGGUGUCCCAUAUCAAACUAGAGGAGCCUGUCCUAUAAUCGAUACCCCCCGUUCCACCCAACCUAAACUAGCACAUUCAGCCUAUAUACCGCCGUCGACAGCCUACCCCAUGAGGGCUCAAUAGUAGACACAAUAGUAUACUACUAAUACGUCAGGUCAAGGUGUAGCACAUGUUUAGGAAGAGAUUGGCUACAUUUUUAAUUAUUAAAAAUUACGGAGUGCCCAAUGAAACUCAACAUGAAGGUGAAUUUAGCAGUAAAAUAAACAAGACUAUUUAUUUAAACAUUGCUCUGGGACGCGCACACACCGCCCGUCACCCUCCUCAACACUCUAUAAUCUCCAUACCUAAUUUAAUAAAUUAACAUAGAGGAGGU
rnacentral:rRNA from 1 species